AGACCGCCAAGAAUACUUUCAGACUAGAGAUUGGGAGAGGUAAGCGGAAUUGCCGGUGUAGUAGUAAAAUGCGUUGAUAUCGGCAAGAACACCAAAAGCGAAGGCAGCUUACUGGAACAAUUCUGACGUUCAGGGACGAAAGCGUGGGUAGCGAAUGGGAUUAGAUACCCCAGUAGUCCACGCCGUAAACGAUGGGUACUAAGCAUUGGAAGUAUCGACCCUUUCAGUGCUGUCUAACUAAGCUAACGCCUUAAGUACCCCGCCUGGGAAGUACGACCGCAAGGUUAAAACUCAAAGGAAUUGACGGGAGCCCGCACAAGCGGUGGAGCGUGUGGUUUAAUUCGACGAUAAGCGAGGAACCUUACCAAGGCUUGAAAUCCAGCUGCACACCUCUGGAAACAGAGGAGCCUAUGAGGGUGCUGGACAGGUGCUGCAUGGUUGUCGUCAGCUCGUGUCGUGAGAUGUUGGGUUAAGUCCCUUAACGAGCGCAACCCUCAUCCUAUGUUAAAUGAUCAUGGGAGACUGCCCCGGUUUAACGGGGAGGAAGGCGGGGAUGACGUCAAAUCAGCAUGGCUCUUACGCCUUGGGCCACACACGCGCUACAAUGGCUAGUACAAUGGGUCGCAAAACCGCAAGGUGAAGCCAAUCCCACCAAAACUAGUCUCAGUUCGGAUUGAGGUCUGCAACUCGACCUCAUGAAGCUGGAAUCGCUAGUAAACGCCGAUCAGCUACGCGGCGUUGAAUACGUUCUCGGGCUUUGUACACACCGCCCGUCACACCAAGAGAGUCGGGAGCACCCGAAGACUGACUAUAUGUUGGAAUAAGGUGAGACCGAUGAUAGGGGUGAAGUCGUAACAAGGUAACC
rnacentral:rRNA from 1 species